GGAUAUCAUCUUCCAUUCUUAAAGCAUAAAAUAGGUGUUCCUGAUUGAUGGAAAGCUGUCUUCCACAGGGUGAUUCAGGGCCCAGAUUUCUUUCAUCAUCAACACUUGGCUUCCCAAACAGUCAUUAUUCAUCUACACCAAGCCAACAGAAGAAGAAAGAACAUGAAGAAUGUGCCAGGAGAAUUAAGUGACCAAAAUCAUCUGAAAGUCCUUAAUUCCAUGAAACUACACUCAGGAGAAGAUUAUCAUGUAAAGGAGAGGUGCAUUGUGUUUGGGGAACAAAUGCCCACGGAAAUGGUGAGUGCAGAAAGUUACAGAGCUUUGCAUCUGGGCCCUCUAGUAGAGUUUGCAAAUGAGAUCGCCCUACAGAUGGAGAAUUUGGGAGCAUCAUGCUGCGACGCCACCUCUUGGCUAAUGCAUGUGGAUUGUCAGGCGACAGAGGGAACUCUGAUCAACCAACACUGACUUUUGGUACAGAAUCCCAGUGGAAAUCACCCAAGGGAAAG
rnacentral:lncRNA from 1 species